GCUGGGCACAGUGGCGCAUGCCUGUAAUCCCAGUGGCUAGAGAGGCUGAGGCAGGAGAAUCCUGAGUUCAAAGCCAGCCUCAGCAAUGGCGAGGCACUAAGCAAUUCAGUGAGACUCUGUCUCUA
rnacentral:sRNA from 1 species